CAGCCGCCGCGGGAAGACAGAGGAUGCAAACGUUAUCCGGAAUGAUUGGGCGUAAAGCGUCUGUAGGUGGCUUUUCAAGUCCGCCGUCAAAUCCCAGGGCUCAACCCUGGACAGGCGAUGGAAAUUACCAAGCUGGAGUACGGUAGGGGCAGAGGGAAUUUCCGGUGGAGCGGUGAAAUGCAUUGAGAUCGGAAAGAACACCAACGGCGAAAGCACUCUGCUGGGCCGACACUGACACUGAGAGACGAAAGCUAGGGGAGAAGAUGGGAUUAGAUACCCGUGUAGUCCCUGUCUCUUAUAC
rnacentral:rRNA from 1 species